rnacentral:SRP_RNA from 1 species
GCUGGACAUGGUGGUGCAUGCCUGUAAUCCCAGCUACUCAGGAGGCUGAGGCAGGAGAAUCGCUUGAACCCAGGAGUUGGAGGUUGCAGUGAGCCGAUAUCAUGCCACUGCACUCCAGCCUGGGCAACAGAGUGAGACUCUGUCUCAA